AAUAGAUACCCCGGUAGUCCACGCCGUAAACGAUGAGUGCUAGGUGUUGGGGGGGUCCACCCCUCGGUGCCGAAGUUAACACAUUAAGCACUCCGCCUGGGGAGUACGGUCGCAAGACUGAAACUCAAAGGAAUUGACGGGGACCCGCACAAGCAGUGGAGUAUGUGGUUUAAUUCGAAGCAACGCGAAGAACCUUACCAGGUCUUGACAUCCUUCUGACCGGUCUAGAGAUAGGCCCUUCCUUCGGGACAGAGGAGACAGGUGGUGCAUGGUUGUCGUCAGCUCGUGUCGUGGGAUGUUGGGUUAAGUCCCGCAACGAGCGCAACCCUUGAUUCUAGUUGCCAGCACUUCGGGUGGGCACUCUAGAGUGACUGCCGGUGACAAACCGGAGGAAGGCGGGGAUGACGUCAAAUCAUCAUGCCCCUUAUGACCUGGGCUACACACGUACUACAAUGGCCGGUACAACGGGCAGCGAAGGAGCGAUCUGGAGCCAAUCCUAUCAAAGCCGGUCUCAGUUCGGAUUGGAGGCUGCAACUCGCCU
rnacentral:rRNA from 1 species